rnacentral:rRNA from 1 species
CUUACAAACUGUGGAAGCACAUUUCUUGUGUGACCGCGUACUUUUUGUAGAACGGGCCAACGAGUUACGUUAUGCAGCAAGGUUAAGUACUUCAAGUAUGCAGCCGCAGCGAAAGCGAGUUUUAACUGAGCGUUUAGUUGCAUGACGUANNGUGGAGGACCGAACCCACGAGCGUUGAAAAGCUCGGGGAUGACUUGUGGAUAGCGGUGAAAUUCCAAUCGAACCCGGAGAUAGCUGGUUCUCCCCGAAAUAGCUUUAGGGCUAGCCUCGAUACAGAUUUGCGGAGGUAGAGCACUGAAU